UACGGGGGGAGCAAGCGUUGUUCGGAUUUACUGGGCGUAAAGGGCGCGUAGGCGGUCGUGACAAGUCACUUGUGAAAUCUCCGGGCUUAACUCGGAACGGUCAAGUGAUACUGUCGGACUAGAGUACAGAAGGGGCAACUGGAAUUCUCGGUGUAGCGGUAGAAAUGCGCAGAUAUCAGGAGGAACACCGGUGGCGAAGGCGGGUCUCUGGGCCGAAACUGACGCUGAGGAGCGAAAGCGUGGGGAGCGAACAGG
rnacentral:rRNA from 1 species